GGGAGGGCGAGGGGGUUUGCGGGGGUGGGAUGGGUGGGAAUGGAGGCGGGGGGUGUAAGGUGAAGGUUAAACAAGGAUACCUGGAGAAGUGGCAUGGAAAGAUAUGCGCCAAAACAGUUUUAGGAUUAUUUCAUAACAGACUGCCACCAGUGGGCCACGACCAGGAUGACUUGCUGUGGAAUUCCUCAGUGCUGACCAUGGCUACAUGAGGACAGCAGACUUUUGUUUUCUGCUCUGUCAGUAGCAUAAAACCCACUAACAUGUCUCCAAUAGUACAAAACAUGCUUAUUGUACAUGUGGCACACUCCAGAUACAAACCUAAAGGGUAAAAGCCAGAAGACUUACCAUCACGUCAUUGUUCGAUUUAUAACUGACUUGCACAGCCUGUUAUGAUUUUGUAAAGCCUUUGCUGUUUUUACAUCAUAUUACAUUUAUAUUCCCUGUUAUCAGUGUUUGUUUAUGAUGACCUUAAGACCUUAAGAACGUGACUUAUCUCAGUUGUCCCCUUAAUUUAUUACAAACCAUUGGUCUCCAGUUUGCCUUUGUCAGAUACUAUAGACUAUGGACUCCUAACAGGACAUGGGCACAGCAGUUUCAGAUGGGCCAUCAUGUACAGUGACACACCUUUGUACAGCUGAUAAAGGCAAACCAAUAGUUUGUGUAUAUUCUCCCCAUGAACAUUGAAUGUGCAUAACUUCUCUGCUUCAUAUGAUUUGUUCUUACUCUGGAUGCUGGUUUGUAAUUCUUAACAAUUGCCAUGUAAUUUGUAGCUACCUUGGUGACACAUUUUCUGUGGCUGUGCAUAUUGAUUGUACUUGAUGCAUAGUGCAUAGCGCCUUGUUACUACUGUAUUAAAAGGCAGUAAAAUGCA